rnacentral:rRNA from 1 species
UACAGAGGGGGCAAGCGUUGUUCGGAAUUACUGGGCGUAAAGGGCGCGUAGGCGGCCUGUUAAGUCGAACGUGAAAUCCCCGGGCUCAACCCGGGAACUGCGUCCGAUACUGGCAGGCUUGAAUCCGGGAGAGGGAUGCGGAAUUCCAGGUGUAGCGGUGAAAUGCGUAGAUAUGUGGAGGAACACCGAUGGCGAAGGCAGCCCCCUGGGUUAACACUGACGCUCAUGCACGAAAGCGUGGGGAGCAAACAGG